CAUAGAAAGAGGGAAAAUGUCAGCUUCCAUCACCAUACUUGAUAUGUGACAACGAAUAAUCAAACUGCUUUUGUACCGUUUGACAGUUAGUGUGAGUCUGUUGCUGAAAGAUUUCCAGGAAAAGGCUGUCAUGACAGAGACAACAGGAGAGAAGGAUACUCAGUACCAGCGGGUUGUCAGCAAGGGACCACUGCCUUUCCAAUACAUUAAAGUCAAACUAGAAUUUGAAGAUGGACAACCUCGAGAUGUGGGAGAAUCUCAGAUGAAGGCUCUCAUCAGUGGCAUGAUCAAGGAAAUCUACGGAGAGGUGGGCUGUAGCCUGACAUCAGAUGUGUUGAAGUAUUCUCUGAAAGACUGUACAGCAAUUCUCAGAGUGACACACAAGAAUUUAGUGAAGGUGUGGAGUUCAUUGACACUUUGCAGCAGUUUUAAGGGAGAACCAUGUGCAUUUAGAGUUCUUCAGACUUCACCACAUCUCAUGGCAUUAGCUGUCAAUUCCCGUGACCUUGACUUUUGAUGCGAUGACCUUGAUAUUUACAGAGGGACUAGCUGUGAUCUCCUGUGAUCUCCUGGGUAAUAAAGGUCAGAUAUGAAGACGAACAGUGUCAAGUCUUCUGUUGGAAGUAAUAGCAUUGGUCACACCCUGAGGAUAGUGUCCUAUUGAAGUACAUGUAACACAAUCACAACCUGAAAACAUGUGUCUGUGGGGAAACUAUCAACAACCUCAUCUUUAUCCAAAUAUGUAGGAUAAUAUGUUGAUAGAAGUCAUUGUUCCGAUAUGAAAACUUUUGGUUUUGCUUUGAAACCUCCAGGACAUGUAAAGUACAUCAUUAAAUGAAUGUGAGCAGUAAUAUCAAGUCAGAUGAAGUGCAGGAACUCAUGGAACCCUGGCUGACGACAGUAAGGACAAAGUGCUUGUUUAUUAAUGAUCAGACCUGGGACAAUUAUGAGGUAAUGCCCUUAUUUAGUGAGGUGUUAAUGGAAUUUACACUUAAGGUAUCGGCAGUUGCUGAUAGUUUAACAUAUUUGUACAAUCUGUGAAUAACACACCUUUAACUGAUGAAAAAUGAAUGGAACAUUAGAGUUUAAUGAACCUGUUAGUUAAUGAAAUGUUAAUACAACUUGUCAGUGAACAUCUAAUGCACUCCUCGACAUUACAUACGUUUCUGUAUUUCUUCGCCUUUCUCACAGAGGAAGUAUUAGAUCAUGAAACAAAUAUUUAAUCGUGAAUGAUAAUGUGUGAUACAUCCUGUCAUGUAUAAUAUAUCUGGAACAAAAUCCUGGUGUUUGACACUCUCUUGGUUUGUGUCUACUUGGGGGAAUCACUCAGAGAAGACAUCAACAAAAUGAGAAAAAAAUUAUGCAGUCGUACAGAAACUUUGCAUGCCCAUCAUUUGGGAUUUUGAUGAAUUCGUUACUUCGUGUUGAUGAAUUAACACAAAGAACAAUACAAAUUUCCUUAAGUGCUCUUAUGUUUUUUGUUUUAUCGAAUUAAGAUAUUUUCCUACCA